UACGUAGGGUGCGAGCGUUAAUCGGAAUUACUGGGCGUAAAGCGUGCGCAGGCGGUCUUGAAAGUCAGAUGUGAAAUCCCCGGGCUCAACCUGGGAACUGCGUUUGAAACUCCAAGACUAGAGUAUGGCAGAGGGGGGUAGAAUUCCACGUGUAGCAGUGAAAUGCGUAGAGAUGUGGAGGAAUACCAAUGGCGAAGGCAGCCCCCUGGGUCAAUACUGACGCUCAUGCACGAAAGCGUGGGGAGCAAACAGG
rnacentral:rRNA from 1 species